rnacentral:sRNA from 1 species
UCUCUCUAGGCCCUGGUCAGUGAGCUGUCAGAGCACUUGAGGGACCCCCUGACCUCCCUGAGCCGCACUGAGCUGGAAGCCACAGAGGUCAUCCUGGAGCAUGCCCACCGCGGGGAGCAGACAACCUCCCAGGUAAGCUGGGAGCAAGACCUGAAGCUGUUUCUUCAGGAGCCUGGCGUAUUUUCCCCCACCCCACCUCAGCAGUUUCAGCCAGCAGGGACUGAUCAGGUGUGUGUCCUGGAGUGGGGAGCAGAAGGCGUGGCUGGCAAAAGUGGCCUGGAGAAAGAGGUUCAGCGCUUGACCAGCCGAGCUGCCCGUGACUACAAGAUCCAGAACCAUGGGCAUCGGGUGAGGUGGGGGGCACAGGUGUCAUGUGCACCUUCUUGUCUCAGCAAGAAAAGCUGAGAGAGGGGACCUUGGAGCCAUUGAGGGUGUCAUGGAG